GGAGUGUGGCUCAGUGGGUAGAGUGCUUGCCUAGCAUGCACAAGGCCCUGGGUUCUACCCCAGCACCA
rnacentral:tRNA from 1 species